rnacentral:lncRNA from 1 species
AUAGAAAAGCAUGCAAUCAUUAUGAUAUACAUCUAUCUUCUCAUAUCCAAUGCCUAAUCUUUUCACCAUUUUUUUUGAAGCAUAGAAGCUUCCAACAAGCUUUUCAUCCUUCGGUAGCAUUUUUUUUAUAAUUGCUACAAUUCUAUUAUAACAGUUGACCAUCAUAUUAAACUCGAACUUCAAGUUCAAUAACUCUGACACAACUGAUAAUAUAGUAUGUGUUUUAUAUUU